UACGUAGGGUGCAAGCGUUAAUCGGAAUUACUGGGCGUAAAGCGUGCGCAGGCGGCUAUGCAAGACAGAUGUGAAAUCCCCGGGCUCAACCUGGGAACUGCAUUUGUGACUGCAUAGCUAGAGUACGGUAGAGGGGGAUGGAAUUCCGCGUGUAGCAGUGAAAUGCGUAGAUAUGCGGAGGAACACCGAUGGCGAAGGCAAUCCCCUGGACCUGUCCUGACGCUCAUGCACGAAAGCGUGGGGAGCAAACAGG
rnacentral:rRNA from 1 species